AGUGAACGCUGGCGGUAGGCCUAACACAUGCAAGUCGAACGGCAGCACAGUAAGAGCUUGCUCUUACGGGUGGCGAGUGGCGGACGGGUGAGGAAUACAUCGGAAUCUACUUUUUCGUGGGGUAUAACGUAGGGAAACUUACGCUAAUACCGCAUACGACCUACGGGUGAAAGCAGGGGAUCUUCGGACCUUGCGCGAUUGAAUGAGCCGAUGUCGGAUUAGCUAGUUGGCGGGGUAAAGACCCACUAAGGCGACGAUCCGUAGCUGGUCUGAGAGGAUGUUGCGCCACCCUGGACCUGAGACACGGUCCUGACUCCUACCGGAGACAGCAGUGGGGGAUAUUCGACAAUGGGCGCAAGCCUGACCCAGCCACACCGCUGCGGUGCAGAAGGCCUUCGUGUUGUAAAGCCCUUCUGUUGGGAUAGAAACUCAGCAGGUUAAUACGCCGCUGUUCUGACGGUACCCAAAGAAUAAGCCACGGCUAACUUCGUG
rnacentral:rRNA from 1 species